CGGAUUAUUUUUCUACUCGAUUAAAAAUAAUUAAUUUUAAUUUGUCACGUCGAUUGUGACAUUUUAUUUAACAUCAGUGGGCGUUAUAUCCGCGUAAACACCUUGACUAGAUUAUUCUAACGGAUUCCCUCUCACUCGUGUCAAUCAUUUUUAUAAAAUGUCGUAUAUCACGUAACUUUCCAAUUCGUUUCUCCAUUUCAUCGAUGAUUUAUUUCGAGGUUAUCUAGUUCGAUCGGACUAACCGACUAAUGACAUUUCUUCUCAUCUUUUUCUGCUGCUCCUCCUCCUGCUGCUGCUGCUGCUGCUGCUGCUGCUGCUGCUGCUGCUGCUGCUGCUGCUGCUCUUAUGUUAGUAGACUUUCGAUGAAUCGAAGCAGAGAGAUUAAUCGUUUAAUCGAGUUCUUUGAAAAUUCGAUCAAAUUUUUAAGUAUUGUCGUGUUAUGCGAUAUUACUCAAAGAUAAUAAUCGUUGAACGUGCAAUGAUUUUUAUUUAGAGAACAAGAAUUACAAACUAUCAUUGAGAUCAAUGUCUAGAAUCAAAUUUUACUCGAGUGAAAUCUCGAAUGCAAAGGUUGAAUUCGCAAAUGACUGGAUUCUCUCUUUUCCAAAGAAAAUUCGAAAUCAAAUGUGAAAGAUAAUAUCAAAAUCAGAAUGAAUUUGGCGUCUAGCUCGUUAGUCCGGAAUACGUGGUUGGUUCUCGAACGUGGUCAGCAAGGAAGAAAUGUACUUCUUCCUUGGAUUGGGAGCAAACGGGUUCGAUGGACUUUCGUCGACCGAUUCUAAUGGAGAUUUAUUAUUUCUCGGGCAUCUCGUACAUUUCACGUACGUUUCUAGAUGAACUUCACUACAGAGUUAAAAGCACACCAUAACGUCCUUCGAUUAUCACGAUAGGUGAAAGUCGGAGAAUCUAGAAAGUAUCUUUCCAUCAAAAUGGGAGAGUCAUUUACUUCUUUUAAUCUUCAUGGAAAUUAGAAGAUUUGUUUUGUUCUUUUCUACAAUUAUUUUCUAAAGAAGUAUAAUUACUUUUCAGAGAGUACAAAUUUAAUACUGAAAUUAAAUGAUAGUACGAAACAAAACGAAUACACCACACACAUAAUAUUCUAUUAUACAAUUAUAUUAUAAUAGCAGUAAUAUUAGAUAAGAAAAGAAACAGAGUUGUAGUUGUGAAUAACAGUUGGAAAGAUUGAAAUGCAGUUAAACCUUUUUGUUCGAGUUAGAUGCGAGAGUAAAUGCGAGGUGUCUGCCAAAUAUUAGCACAGCCGGUGCAGCUGUCGAGCAAUACUACGUUUCUGUUUUUAGAUUUGCUAAAAAUCUCGUGCAUCAAAUGAAACAAACAUAAAUAAGUAAUAUAGUUUCGAUUCUUUUUUUGUUUUCUUUCGUAAGAUUAAAAGAUAGUACGAUAUCGAAGGAGAUUAGAUAAAUUUCGUCGUGAUAUUUUAGAAACACACGUAGAAUUUAUCUAACGUAAUAAUAAUGAUGAUAUCCGUAAACGAAAAGUAGAGCAACCUGUCCAUCCAUGCUUUUAACACCUAAACAUUAAAUGAGAAAUAAAAUCAAUCUCGUCGUAAAUGGUUUCGAAAGAGAUUAGUUCCGUUAUAAGAAACUCAUUGCAAAGAGAAAUUGAUUAAAAUGAAGCAACUAGUGAGACUACCUGCGGAGUCGUCUGAAUGUACAAAUGAGCUUUUUAUCGACUUAAGGAUAAACCCACGCGUGUGUUUUUUUCUUUUACAACGAAACGAUGAUAAUUUUGGAGGAUAUUCAAAGAUCCGGAGAUGAGAGAAACGAGUACAUUUUCUGUUUGGUUUUUUAAGUAGGCGUCUGGUUAACAGAUACAAUAAAAAUACGACGAUAUAUUCGUUAAUUAUAUCGUUAUUUGUAUAAAUAAUUUAAAAAAUGAUUAAAGGGAAUCCUAAGGAGGAACUCGUCUGCAAAUGGAUAGACGUCGAACUUGAAAGCGUUUCGCAAUAAUAAAAUAAAAUGUAAGUUAGUUAACUAAGGAAAUUUAAACGAUGGUUAUAAUCGAAGUUGUUUCUCAAGUUGAUUUGAGGUGAUCCAAAGCGAGUCACGUUUGGUCGUACCAAUAAGGGCCAUUCAUCUGGCCGCGACGUUUGAAACAAGAAACGAUGAACGAUAAUGCAAUUCUGUAGCCAAGCACUCACGUAGGUGCAACCAACUUCGAUAAUCGACUUGGUUUUGUCCUCACCUUUCAAUUGUAAUUAUCUAGGAUUUGUUUUAUUAUUUUGUUCGUUCACCAGUUAGUCAAUUUUAUCUUAACGAGUUUUCGUUAAUUGCAUCGCGUGCCAUUGCAAUUAGAUCGGCACGAUGAUUGUUUCAUUUUUUCAAGAUUAAUAUUAUCUAAAUAUUAUUCAUUCGCAUUGGUAAAAUGAAACACUAUCUAAUAUGUUAAUUCAUUAAUAUAAUAAACAUAAUGAAGAUGAAGGACGCAUAAUUUGUUAGAGCCCAUCCUCUAUUCAAGGUUUUUUUUAAUGACUGUAGUUUGAAAUUUAAAGACCAACAAAGCGUUCGCCAGGGUGGUAUAGAAAUUGACUAAAAGGAAGGAAAGAAGGAAGGAAGGAAGGAAGGAAGGAAGGGAAAGGGUCGUGACAUGUUACGAUUCGGCUUUAGUGAUUUGGACUACCGAUAGGAACCUCGGCUCUUUGGCAACUCGCUAAAUUUGUCGAUAGCCAACCCAUUUUUGGACAGACGACAACGAUUCGAGGUAGUAGAAGAGGACCACUUUUGCUGGAUUAGCUGUGAUAUAUGGAGCUGAAAUUGAAAUACGACCAGUUCUACUGUUUUUUUAGGAUAAUCAUGACCAUAAACACGUCUAAAAGUGGACGGACCUGAUACUCAAUGUCAAAGGUGUUGGAAUAACAAAAAUACUAAGCUUUGUUUUUUCAAAAAUAGGAAAGAACAGGAAGUACUUGAAAUGAAUUUUUGAAAAAAAAAAAAACAAACAAAGCUCUAACUAAAGAUGUUAGAUGAAUCACUCGCAUAAACGUCCAUCAGGAUAACCUCGGAAGGAUUACCAAGGAGAAAUUGUUGCUUUGAGCGAUCUCAUGCGAGAAAGAAUACGUGUACUCAUUAUAAUCCCAUCGAAGUAUUACGAGGAGGAACCAACUGAGGAUUCUUCUCUUCAUUCUUUCUUUCGUUUUAUAUCCAUAUUGUAAAGAAAGUCAUGGAUUAUUACGAUGCAUCUUAAUUUUGAAGUUAAUACACCAUGCGGCCUCGACAAACGAUCCUGACAUUGAUUGCGGACCAAGGAAAUCUACAAAGUUGAGAGAAAGUUCCUCCUUUUUUUUUUUAGAAACCUCUUUCGCGAUAUCCUAUCUUUCUUUACAUAACCACGCGGGAAAUUACAUUUCAAAAUAAAAAAAAAAAUAAAAUAAGAUUGAUGGGUCCCGAUUCUGAUAGUAUCAAAAAAAAAAAAAACAUAAAAGAAACAACAAGAUAUUGUAGAUUGUUAAAUUAGUUUAACAUAAAUCUGACAUUAAGAUCAUUUCGAUAAGAACUUAUUAGAAUAAUCAUUUGUUUUUGAACUAACGCAUACGAAGUUGUGGAUAAGAGAAAAUAUUGAAAUGAUUUUUCAUCUGUCAUCGAUGACGUUUGCAAACGUGUCAUUAAAUAUAUCUGAACAAAGACUAUCAUCAUUGGUAAUCGUUCAACGAGAGUUGAUUAUCGUUAUCGCGAUAUUUUCUUUUUCCUCGAGACGAAUCAAACGUCUUAUUAAAUGUAAGUUAAGUAAAGUUACUUUUACUACUACUACUACUACUACGUUCUUCUUCUCGAUACGAUAAGGGCUCUAAAUAAAUAAGUAUAUAUAAACUUAUCCAUGCUUUAUGAUACAACAGAGACUUGUUGGAAAACGUAUGUUUGUGUUAUGUACGAAGAAAAAUGACCAGAGAUAUAUAAUAAGCAAUAUAAAUAUUAUAAAGGGUAGAGGGGUAAGGAGUAACAUUUCUGUAUAUGAAAAGUGUCCGUCAAAAUGCAUUCAAUUAUACAAAUAUGUACGUAUGUUUUUACACUUUCAAUGUAAACAAAAAAAAAGAACCCCUUAAAAUGGUAUUUAAUGAGAACGAUAAAAUUAUGUUUAAUAAUACAUGUAAAUAAGUAUAAUUAUACACCUGUGAAUAAGAGGGGGGGGGGAGGGACAAAGAAUCACGUAGAAAGGUAGAUAAGUAGAAAUUGAUAGGAUAGGUGGUAAUAAAUAAUUAUAUUAAUUGGUAAAAUGCGAUUUUGUUUGAAGAGAACGCGCGUGUAUACAUUUGUAUAUAAAUAUACUUGUAUGUGUAUCGAGUCAAACUGGAAGGGAAUUACUUUCGAAAAGUAGCCAUUAGAGGCAAUUAGGCAUGCAUCAUAGGUUGGAGAACAGAAUGCCUUACAUGGACAGAACUUAUCCACUGUCGUAAUGGUACACGCGCUAGAAAGGGCGUUCCUUAUCGAUCUUUAACAUAUAAUAUCAAAAUAUUUAUGAAAAAACGAAGAAUAAAUAAA
rnacentral:lncRNA from 1 species